UACGGAGGGUGCAAGCGUUAUCCGGAUUUAUUGGGUUUAAAGGGUCCGUAGGCGGACUCAUAAGUCAGUGGUGAAAUCCUGCAGCUCAACUGUAGAACUGCCAUUGAUACUGUGAGUCUUGAAUUUGGUUGAAGUGGGCGGAAUAUGACAUGUAGCGGUGAAAUGCUUAGAUAUGUCAUAGAACACCGAUUGCGAAGGCAGCUCACUAAGCCUGGAUUGACGCUGAGGGACGAAAGCGUGGGUAGCGAACAGG
rnacentral:rRNA from 1 species